UACGAAGGGGGCUAGCGUUGUUCGGAAUCACUGGGCGUAGAGCGCACGUAGGCGGAUUCUUAAGUCAGGGGUGAAAUCCCGAGGCUCAACCUCGGAACCGCCUUUGAUACUGGGGAUCUCGAGUCCGGGAGAGGUGAGUGGAAUUGCGAGUGUAGAGGUGAAAUUCGUAGAUAUUCGCAAGAACACCAGUGGCGAAGGCGGACUCACUGGCCCGGAACUGACGCUGAGGUGCGAAAGCGUGGGGAGCAAACAGGG
rnacentral:rRNA from 1 species